UGGAGGACUGAGAAGGUGGGGCAGUUCUGUACCAUGCUGCCUUCCAUUGGUUAAGACCUCCAACAGUGAAGGCUGCCCAGGCAGAAGAUGCCCCUCUCUUGGACCCUUGGAGGGGCAGUGCUGUGCUGGCCAACAUUUG
ensembl:snoRNA small nucleolar RNA, H/ACA box 47